rnacentral:lncRNA from 1 species
GCUGAAUCAUGGCCUGAACCUCUGAUUGACCACCUGAGGCAAGCAAUGAGUCAGCCCUGGGAGCACAGGUGGAGGUAAUUGCUGCCGGAAGUAGAACCUUGCUCCACCUCUCCCAGACCCCAUUUAAGAUCUGACUACCAUUAGGGAAGGGUCUCUUUUGGAGAUCGUUCCUCUUGGAGUCUUCUCAGUAAGCCCAGAAUGGGGGUAAGCUUUCCAUCCGUCCAUUCUUUUUUAGUGUGAUAACUUGUUUAGCAUAACUUGCUUAUAUAUUUCUUAAUUAUAACAUUCAUAUAUUCAUUGAUUAUGCAAAAGCUGUUUUCUGUUAUGUUAAUUUUUGACUUAACAAAUGAAUUCUGUUAUGAGGCAGACAAAUUCAUUGUAAGUAUGUUUAUCUGAGGUCUGACCUUCUUGGGGUAAUUAGAUAUUGAUAGUAGUGGGAUACUGAUGUUACAGAAUAGGUUAAUAAUGAUGUGACACAGGCUUGGAUAGCCUUGUUUACUACGGAUAACAAUAAGAAAAAUCACAUAUUUUUGUUCUAUUUCUGGAUAUAUCUUUCGUUAAGAAAAAAAAAUCAAGCAAUCCAGGUUAUUUGAAGUCAUCCAAAAACAAACAAAAACAAAGCAGAAUAUCUGUACCUGAUACUAAAGGAAUCUAUAGCUUUAAAGAGUUUAUAUUUUUUUUUCUCCAGGUCAGAAAUAUGCAAAGCCACAUACUGAUGCUACACUUAUAGGAUAAAAGCCACGAAAGAAGAAUUUGGAGUUAACCAUUUGGAAUACAACUUGGGUGCUUCAAAUGGUGCAUCAAAGUCUGACAGUAACAAGGUCUCCUGAAGAGCUGUGGGGAUAUAAUUUCAGAGGUCCUGUUGCUUCUAUGGCUGCUGCAGCUGGCAAGGAGUGGAGUAGCUUGGGACUGUUCCAGCUGGUGUGUGGCAACCUGGAAUACCUGCAACAAGCAAGCUGGCCCUUACCUUCUGCUUGCAUCCUGCUAAGGAAUCUUGGAAAGAUUUUGACAAGAAGGUUGUCACAUGCUCCCCCUUCAGCACUAAUUGUAUCAUCACUUUUGAAAGUCCCAGGCAAUUUUAGAGGUACCAGCUGCCUUACAGGAGCAAAACUGGAUACUAUUCAGCAUGACUGUUUUAAUUUAUCAAUACUGAUGUAUAAAGAGUACUGUUUGUUGUGGGGAUUAGCUGUUGUCCCAUUUCACCUUGUGUUCUGAAUGAUAAAUGGUUAUGCAAGCUGCCUUCAAUAUAAUUUGUCAUACAAACUCUAUAUAAUUAUUAAGAUAAGAUAAUAUGUGACAAUAUUUAUGGAAUAAUAUCCUCCCAAUCAUUCAGCUGCUUCUAAAUGCUAAGGGCUAAUUAGAUGAUUUUUGCCUCUGAGAUCUGGUAAUCAUUUGUUGACAGAUAUUAAAUGAUUCAACUGUUUUCUCCCAUGAAAGAUAUGCUAUUUUUGGUUUUCCUUUUUUUUUUUCCUUCUUCUUUCUUCUUUUUUUUUUUUUUUUCCUGUUAAUAUGGAUGCAGUAGUUAAUUAAAGCUCAAGACGUUUACAACAUCCAGCAUUUGAAUUGCACUACACUUCGCUUCAAAACUAUGAGCAAUUAACGCAUAGGGCCUUUUAAAAUUAAUUGCAAGCUUUACUAACAAUAUAGUAUUUUACUUCAUUAAAACAAGAUUUUGCUAUCCAGCUGCUUUGAUCUGCAGCCAGUGCUGCAGUCUGGUCCACAGAGAAGCACACACAUAACAGAAAAGACCUUCCAAGACAUUUACUGAGGCAUAUGUCUUUUAUUGGAAACUUGUAGUGCUAUGUAGUGUAGCAUUUCCCUAACAGCUCAUCACCUAUACUCCUUCCCUGUGGCCAGUUGCAGAUCAUUCCUAUGGCAGGAAAAGGGAUUAUGGCUGAAGAAAAAGAGUGGUGGCCUGUGUCACCCGUUCCAGUUUCAGUGUGUCUAAUAACUAACGAAACCAACAGAAACUUUUGGGCCCUUCUGACUAGGAAUGAACAUGGGACAGAAGGUGGUUGGGAGAAUAAAGCUCAUCUUUGUAAUGCUUAGUCUAUGAUU